CAUUUGGUUUUUUUUUUUUUUAAAAAUGGGCUGUCCAGGUUGUAGUCUAAAAACUUCUUGCAUAUGGGUCGCAUGUGCUGCGGUUGCUUUGGGUUUUGUUACGUUGAUAAUCACUGGUAUUAAAAUGGAAACUAAUGGAUUAAACGAUAUUUCAAUUAUCAGAAUAGCUUUAAAUAUCUUAUUUAUAAUUGGAGCUUUGUGUCUCUUCGUCGGCACUAUAUCGGAGAAAAAAACUCUUGUGAAAAUAUGGAUCGCAAUUGCUAUAUUUUGCACAUUUAGUCUGUUGUUUUGUACUUUUAUUUAUUUAUUAACCAAUUGGAAGAAAUUAUCGGCGUGGCCAAGAAUACAUUCAUUUUUGUACGUUUUAUUGGUUUGCGUUGCACUUUUCUUCUGGACUUUCUUUCCACGGCGUUAUUACAGAGAAUUAGAUAAUCUCAGUGACUAGUAAGCAUUCCGGAUUUAAAUUCUUUAUCAAUAAAAUUGGGCUGGAAAUCGAUGUUAUCCUGCUUUGAAACAGCCAGGAUUUAAUGGAUAAAAUGGCUAUUGCGGAAUUAUUAUCUACCAGCUAUUGGCAUGAAAAUUUUGGCUCCCAUGCAUGGACUUUCGACUUAAUUAUUGUGUAGAUCCUAGUUCUCAUUGCUGCUUAGUGCUUGAUUUUUGGGCCAUGAUUGGCAAUUACAGCUUCGAUCUUUGGAGUACAUCUCGAUCCAGUAAAGAAGCUUCAUGAUGAUGAUCUGGACCACAAUGGCUCUCGUUUGCUGGGUAUUUAAAAAAUUGCAAUUAAUGUCAGCUUGUGGACGCUCAGGAGAUUUAUUCUCAAUGCUCCUUGGUUUUAUUAACUAUAUACAUGAGCUCAGGAGAGGCCUGGACUAGGCGCCCAUCUUUAAAAAGUUUUGACCGAAAUCGAAAUAAAUUUAAUGUUGGC
rnacentral:sRNA from 1 species